UACGUAGGCAGCAAGCGUUGUUCGGAGUUACUGGGCGUAAAGGGUGCGUAGGCGGUCUUUUAAGUUUGGUGUGAAAUCUCCCGGCUCAACCGGGAGGGUGCGCCGAAUACUGAGAGGCUAGAGUGUCGGAGAGGUAAGUGGAAUUCCUGGUGUAGCGGUGAAAUGCGUAGAUAUCAGGAGGAACACCGGUGGUGUAAACGGCUUACUGGACGAUAACUGACGCUGAAGCACGAAAGCGUGGGUAGCAAACAGG
rnacentral:rRNA from 1 species